rnacentral:rRNA from 1 species
UACGAAGGGGGCUAGCGUUGCUCGGAAUCACUGGGCGUAAAGCGCACGUAGGCGGCUUUUUAAGUCAGAGGUGAAAUCCUGGAGCUCAACUCCAGAACUGCCUUUGAUACUGGAGAGCUUGAGUCCGGGAGAGGUGAGUGGAACUGCGAGUGUAGAGGUGAAAUUCGUAGAUAUUCGCAAGAACACCAGUGGCGAAGGCGGCUCACUGGCCCGGUACUGACGCUGAGGUGCGAAAGCGUGGGAGCAAACAGG